UAUUUUGAUUAUCAUAAGUUUUACUUAAUUUUCUUGUGGCAUUUGCUACAUUCACAGGGUUACUUUUCCAGUUCCUUGCGUUUGAAAUUUUACAAUUCGAGUUAUUUGAUUCCAUUUUUUUUUCCUUCUUCCAAAGAAUAGUUUAAUUCCUUUUCAGAAUUCCUUAAUUUAUUUUUAUCGAUAAGAACCUCUGUUUUAUUUCGUCAUAAUUAAGUUCUUUUCAUUGUUUACUUACAGUCAACACCUUUCCAAUUUUUUUAUUUUUGCUAUUCUAUUUCAUGUGAAGAUGUGAGCUUGGAUGUUCAUUCCAAGUGCUGGAAAUCACAUGAAGUCAUCAUAAACAUACAUUUGUUUUGCGUCACUUGGCAUUACCUUGUUUGCCCUUCUACGGUGUCAUGCUGUAGCACUAGUCUUCUACUUCCUCCUUAUGUAUAAUGUACUUAAUUUCCUGUUGUUUUUUUUUGCUGUUCUUGCUGUUCUUGAGUACAUUAUCAAUCUAGACUUUAAUCCUGUUCUGAUAACAAUCUAAACCUAUGUGUUUGCGUGAGGGUCAUUCUCUAUAGCAUGUUAAGGAAUAUGGAAUGGAAUAAUCAUCUCUUCAUAUUAAUUGGAUAGAAAAUGAGAGGUUCAUUGCUACAACUAGUUUAUUUGGUGGAAGUAUCAGACUAUCAGUGUUGUUAAAGUGCCAGGCGAGGCUGCCUUGCCUCUCCUGGCUGAGUUGAGGAGAAGUUGAAGAGGUGAGGCGUUGCACCUUUGAAGUAACAGGCAGAUCUUCUUUCUUUUUUAAACAUCAAAUCCUAAUCCAUAGUGUCUAUUUCAACAUCAACAGCUGGAGCAUUUUAGCAAAUCCAGCAGGGCUUCUUUCUCACCUCUUCUUUUCUUGUUCCAUUCUCUUCUUCCCUUUCCUAAUGGCCCUUUGACAGCAGGUUUUUAUUUUAAUCACUAUGUAUAAAUGUAUAAUUGUACAUUUGUAUGUACAUGUAUGUAUAAUUGUGUGUGUAUGAUAUGUAUGUAUAAUUUGUGUGUGCAUAUGUGUGUGUUUUUGUAUAUGGUGCCUCACUUCAAAAAAGGACCUCCCUAAGGCCAUAGGGUACCCUGUCGCUUUGGUGUCACCUCUCACCUUAAUAAGUACAUGAGCAUUAAGGUAUAGGUAUGGAGGUAGCAGGCACUGUGCUAAUUAUAUUAGACAACAUCCAGUGCUGGUGGUUUUGGAUUAAGCAAGUUUAUUGAAGUUGAUGUGUGGAUGGUCACCGUAAGUGCAGAGGUGGCGUUGGUGGUGAUAGUAGUCAUAGAAGUGGUGUUGGGUAAUUAAUUGAUAAGUUGAUAAAAUUAACAUGAUGCUGUGUACCUCAGGAUUGGCUCACUAUGCUCUGAACCUAACGCCUUCUGCGCCUUGUUCCAGGUGCAAGGCUCUAUAACCAGAUCAAGGAAAUGGCUAUUGCAAUAUGAUAAUGAUUGCAUUACGCAAGUUCCUUAACAAAUUUGAUGUUGGGUUAGACUGCUAGGGCAGGGAACGCUUUUAGGUUUUCUAACAAUUAAAGGUAAUCUUAUUCACAUAAGAAUUACUCAUUUGGGUUCCUUCUCCCCCUUGCCAACACAGAUCUUGUUGAUUCCAUACAAUUGGUCUAUAUUAGUCUGGAAAUUUUUGUUCUCUUUGUUUGGCAUGGUUCAUUUUGCAAGUAAAGAAUUCAAAUGAAGACUUGCAAAAUCAUACAAGAUUUCAACUUCCUUUAAAAUGAAAAUUUUUUAAGUUGAAAGAAUUAUUAGAAAGGAAAUCAAUUGAAUUGAAUCUUGCAAAGUUCUUGAUACCAAAUGGAGGGAUUUUGAUUUUGCAAUGUCUUCUGCUAUUGCUGAAAUCACUUAGUUUCUUUGGAUGUGAUUUGAACUUUUUUUCUUUUGGUAAUUGGUUGAUUUCAAUGCCUGAUCAGUUCAGUAUGUCAAAUGUGUGAAGUCUGUCUAUGACAUUUUGUACCGACUUUUAUGAAGAUUUGGUGGUUAGUGGUAAUAUUGAACUUGCUUACUUAUUAGAAAAGGUAUUCUCUAGUUGAUCAACUCCUUACAAGUGUGUGAUGUUUGAUUUUGGUUAUGUCGGUUGUUUUUUUUUU